GUGGCAGAAAAAGUUUCUCCUGGAUGGAAGGCUGCUUUGUUCCCUACAGUGGAAACAUCCAAGUUAACUGCUGUUUAGGGAAGGGCUGGCAACCAGAAGUGGGUACAAUAAGGUAACACCCCAGAGAGGGAACAGGGAAAUUCAAAUAAUUUACUGUGAAAAAUACAUCAGUGACACAAAGCAGAAACACCUGUUAACUUUUAAAGCAGUGAAACUCACUGAAGGGGAAGAAUCAUUCUGCCAACAAAAUAUCACAAUUGGAUCAUCUGACAUGUGACAUUCCUGAAAAGGAAGCCUCAGCCAAUUAUUAAGUAUUUUGAAACUGGAAGUACCUGUUCUUUAAUCAUAAUGGUACCUACAAACCACUUUGAACAGGGGGCUCGGGGAACUCGACUAAGGCCUGGUCUAUACUACAAAGUUAAGUUGAGGUAACUUGCCUUGUGUCGACCUAUUUGCACUCAAAUCUGUCUCUUGCUGGCAUUAGAGACUCGUUGCGAUGAUGCAGUAACACCACCUCUCCAAACAGCAUUGAGCCAUGGUUGAUGCAGUCCAAGUGUAGAUCCUGCAUGACACAUGUCAACCCUAACAGUCCAACAAUGACCACUCUGGUCACAAUUGUGAACUCUACUGCCCAGGGGUCAUGGAGACCAGAAGGCUCCCCCCUUAAAAUCCCCACAUAUUUUGAAAUAUCUUUUCCUGGUUGCUCAGCAUGGCAAGCUCACCUAGCAGCUCUCCCUUGUGUGCCAACUGCCCGUACCAGCUACAUGCUCUAGAUGGGGUCCUGCCUGGAGCAGACAGGAGAUAUUGGAUCUCCUGGGCCUGUGGAGAGAAGGGGCUGGGUAAUCACAGGUAUGGCGUAGUCUUAGAAACUUGGACCUCUAUGAAAGGACUGCAUAGGGGAUGCAGACGAUGCAGGGGUAUAACAGGGAUUGGCAGCAUGAAAGCAAAGGAACUGUGGCAGGCACACCACAAGGCUGGGGAAGACAAGUCAAUCUGAUGUUGGCCACAGAUCUUUACAAUGAGCUGCAUACCAUCCUUGGCAGAGACCUCGCCAGCAUUCCCAGACAACCAUGGAUACCUCAGUGAAGCCUAAGACCAACACCUCUGCCAUGAAAAGUGAUGCGGAAGAGGGACGUGACAGAGGCAGGGUGUCCAGCUAUGCUGCAAGUCUCGAACAGAUCCUGACUCUACUACAGUCUAGCUAGUCCCACCAACUGAGCACAGAUGAGUCCAAUUGAGGAGAAAGAACCUCCAGUAAGUGUGUGCAUCCAUUCUCCCUUACAGUGUUUAAAUGUGAAGCUGGAACCCUGCCCAACCCCAAGUUGGCAGGACACAAGUAUCUACUUUUUCAUUGUUUCUCUCCUAUGAGAAGAUGUAGCAGUACAACAAAGAGAGGUAGAGUUGAUUAUCUGCUUUUUCAUUCCACUUUAGAAUUAGGCGGGGUGGAGUGGGGGCAUUCAGAGCAGUGUGUUUAUGUACAUAGGGAUGUUCCUUGUGCCUCCUGAGAGAUCUCAAUGACACUUUCAUGGAAGUCCCCUGUAUUCACUGAGAUCCUGCAAGCCAGUGCUGUAUCAGACCAUAGACAGAGGGACUGGAGAAAGGUUUAGGAGUCCCAGCAGUAAACGGCGAAGGAGAGGCACCAGGAUGUAAUGGGACUUCUCCAUCAGCAAACACACAUGCUGCAAACGCUUGUUGACCUACAACCAUGGGCUCGUCUCCCUUUGCAGUCAAUGGAACACUUCAUUUCAGCAGCUCCCUCCCGCCCUCCACAUUCUAGGUCUCAUCACGGGCCACAUCCUACCUCUGCCACUCCAUGCCAGGGGUAGUAAGGAGAACCACAGCUUCACCUACACUGGCCUAUGUGAGAGCCAGUGUUCAUGUAUGUUUGGCAGAAAUGGAGUGAAAUGGACACAGAUGUUUAAGCUUAAAAUAGUAGAAAAGUUCUGCUCCAUUAAUUGAUCUGUUUAUACUGUGUCAAUUUUUAAUUGCACAUUAUUUUAGUUCACUUUUUGGAAAUUCAUCUUCCUCGCACAUUGUGCAGAAUGUCUAGUGGCACUCAAAGUAUGUUGUUUUGUAAUAAAACAGCAGCCCAGAACUCUCAGGUUUAGUGAAAAACCCAGUGUAAUAAUUAUAAACAUACGGUAAGCACAGCAUAAUUCAUGGGUUCAUAAAAAAGCUGUGUGAUGUUCAUAAAUGUAGGCCAAGCACUAUGCAAUUCUGUACAACCCUCAAAUCUUCAGGGACAAGUAGAGUGAUAUCUAGCACCGCAUGUUACUGUGGCUGACCAUUUAAAGUGCUCCUUUCAAGGUCUCCCUUAGCUGCAUAGCUCUGCAUUGAGCUCUUGUAGUGGCCAUUGUAUCUGGCUGUUCAAAGUCAGCAGACAGCUACCCUCCCUUCCACCCCAACAGCAACUUUCCCCCCCUUUUGCUUUAGACAUUAUGCAGGAGACAGCAGGCAGCUAUAACUAAAGCUGCAAGUCUGUAGGAGAGGUCACGGAAGUCACAGAUUCUGUGACUUUCCAUGACCUCUGUGACUUCUGCAGUGGCCAGCAG